GAGCAUUGAGUGGCAGGUGGAUGAAUUGGACAAAACAAUUGAUGUUGCAGCAAGAGAUCCUUCUUGGUAUGGUAUUAAUGAUAUUGAGCUUGAUAAGAGAAGAAGAUGGACCAGCAAUGCCCGUGCUCAAGUGGGAAGCAUGAAGAAAGCUGUAGUAGCUGGAAAACAGUCAAAUGGGACAAGUACAUCUAAUCUGAGUGGGAUGCGGCGAGAACUGUUGAGAUUGCCAGAUUCUGAACAGAAAGAGAGAUCCAAUGCAUACAAUGCCCGAGAUAAUGAUGACUUCAUAUCAUCAGAAUCAGAUAGACAAUUACUUCUUAUGAGGCAACAGGAUGAAGAACUAGACGAGCUUAGUGCCAGCGUAGUCAGAAUUGGAGAUGUUGGGCUCACCAUACACGAUGAACUUCUUGCACACGAGAAGAUCUUAAGUGAGUUGGACACGGAGAUGGACAGUACAUCAAAUCGUCUAGAUUUCAUUCAGAAAAAGAUUGGCAUGGUAAUGAAGAAGGCGAGCGUCAAGGGACAGAUGAUGAUGAUUUGUUUUCUGAUAGUUUUAUUUAUUGUUCUUUUUGUUCUGGUUUUCUUGACCUAGUUAGCAUAAUUUGUUUUCUUAAUAGUAUUUGGUUUUGUCUACCCAGUUUAUGUACGUAUUGUUAUGGAAGAAACUGGCAUGUAUACAGCAUACAUAAAUGAAUUGGAAAUCUUGGC
rnacentral:misc_RNA from 1 species